CCUCCUCCUCCUCCUCCUCCUCCUCCUCCUCCUCUUUCAUUUCUUUCAGCUGGGCUCUCCUACGUGUGUUGCUCUGUUGCUCACGCUGGUCUCAAACUCCUGGCCUUGACGCUUCUCCCGUCACAUCCGCCGUCUGGUUGUUGAAAUGAGCAUCUCUCGUAAAAUGGAAAAGAUGAAAGAAAUAAACACGAAGACGGAAAGCACGGUGUGAACGUUUCUCUUGCCGUCUCCCGGGGUGUACCUUGGACCCGGAAACACGGAGGGAGCUUGGCUGAGUGGGUUUUCGGUGCCGAAACCUCCCGAGGGCCUCCUUCCCUCUCCCCCUUGUCCCCGCUUCUCCCCCAGCCGAGGCUCCCACCGCCGCCCUGGCAUUUUCCAUAGGAGAGGUAUGGGAGAGGACUGACACGCCUUCCAGAUCUAUAUCCUGCCGGACGUCUCUGGCUCGGCGUGCCCCACCGGCUACCUGCCACCUUCCAGGGAGCUCUGAGGCGGAUGCGACCCCCACCCCCCCGUCACGUCCCGCUACCCUCCCCCGGCUGGCCUUUGCCGGGCGACCCCAGGGGAACCGCGUUGAUGCUGCCUUCGGAUCCUCCGGCGAAGACUUCCACCGGAUGCCCCGGGUGGGCCGGUUGGGAUCAGACUGGACCACCCCGGACCGUGCUGUUCUUGGGGCACACAGAUGAGACGCACGAGAGGGAGAAACAGCUCAAUAGAUACCGCUGACCUUCAUUUGUGGAAUCCUCAGUCAUCGACACACAAGACAGACGGAGUCUCGCUCUGGGCGGGGCGAGGCGAGGCGAGGCACAGCGCAUCGCUUUGGAAGCCGCGGCAACGCCUUUCAAAGCCCCAUUCGUAUGCACAGAGCCUUAUUCCCUUCCUGGAGUUGGAGCUGAUGCCUUCCGUAGCCUUGGGCUUCUCUCCAUUCGGAAGCUUUGACAGGCGCAACCCCACCCAGAGGCUGGCUGCGGCUGAGGAUUAGGGGGUGUGUUGGGGCUGAAAACUGGGUCCCCUAUUUUUGAUACCUCAGCCGACACAUCCCCCGACCGCCAUCGCUUGCUCGCCCUCUGAGAUCCCCCGCCUCCACCGCCUUGCAGGCUCACCUCUUACUUUCAUUUCUUCCUUUCUUGCGUUUGAGGAGGGGGUGCGGGAAUGAGGGUGUGUGUGGGGAGGGGGUGCGGGGUGGGGACGGAGGGGAGCGUCCUAAGGGUCGAUUUAGUGUCAUGCCUCUUUCACCACCACCACCACCACCGAAGAUGACAGCAAGGAUCGGCUAAAUACCGCGUGUUCUCAUCUAGAAGUGGGAACUUACAGAUGACAGUUCUUGCAUGGGCAGAACGAGGGGGACCGGGGACGCGGAAGCCUGCUUGAGGGAGGAGGGGUGGAAGGAGAGACAGCUUCAGGAAGAAAACAAAACACGAAUACUGUCGGACACAGCACUGACUACCCGGGUGAUGAAAUCAUCUGCACACUGAACACCCCCGUCACAAGUUUACCUAUGUCACAGUCUUGCACAUGUAUGCUUGAACGACAAAUAAAAGUUAGGGGGGAGAAGAGAGGAGAGAGAGAGAGAGAGAGAGACAGAGAGAGACAGAGAGAGAGAGAGAGGAGGGAGAGAGAAAACGAAACACCACCUCCUUGACCUGAGUCAGGGGGUUUCUGGCCUUUUGGGAGAACGUUCAGCGACAAUGCAGUAUUUGGGCCCGUUCUUUUUUUUUCUUCUUCUUUUCUUUCUUUUUUUUUGGACUGAGUCUCUCUCGCUCUGUCACCCAGGCUGCGGUGCGGUGGCGCUCUCUCGGCUCACUGAAACCUCUGCUUCCCGGGUUCCAGUGAUUCUUCUUCGGUAGCUGGGAUUACAGGCGCACACCAUGACGGCCGGCUCAUAUUCCUAUUUUCAGUAGAGACGGGGUUUCUCCACGUUGGCCACGCUGGUCUCGAACUCCUGACCUCAAAUGAUCCGCCUUCCUGGGCCUCCCAAAGUGCUGGAAACGACAGGCCUGAGCCGCCGGGAUUUCAGCCUUUAAAAGCGCGGGCCCUGCCACCUUUCGCUGUGGCCCUUACGCUCAGAAUGACGUGUCCUCUCUGCCGUAGGUUGACUCCUUGAGUCCCCUAGGCCAUUGCACUGUAGCCUGGGCAGCAAGAGCCAAACUCCGUCCCCCCACCUCCCCGCGCACAUAAUAACUAACUAACAAACUAACUAACUAACUAAACUAACUAAAUAAAUAAAAUCUCUACACGUCACCUCUAAGUGUGUGUUCCCGUGAGGAGUGAUUUCUAAGAAAUGGCACUGUACACUGAACGCAGUGGCUCACGUCUGUCAUCCCGAGGUCAGGAGUUCGAGACCAGCCCGGCCAACGUGGUGAAACCCCCGUCUCUACUGAAAAUACGAAAUGGAGUCAGGCGCCGUGGGGCAGGCACCUGUAACCCCAGCUACUCGGGAGGCUGGGGUGGAAGAAUUGCUUGAACCUGGCAGGCGGAGGCUGCAGUGACCCAAGAUCGCACCACUGCACUACAGCCUGGGCGACAGAGUGAGACCCGGUCUCCAGAUAAAUACGUACAUAAAUAAAUACACACAUACAUACAUACAUACAUACAUACAUACAUACAUACAUACAUCCAUGCAUACAGAUAUACAAGAAAGAAAAAAAGAAAAGAAAAGAAAGAGAAAAUGAAAGAAAAGGCACUGUAUUGCUACUGGGCUAGGGCCUUCUCUCUGUCUGUUUCUCUCUGUUCGUCUCUGUCUUUCUCUCUGUGUCUCUUUCUCUGUCUGUCUGUCUCUUUCUUUCUCUCU
rnacentral:lncRNA from 1 species